rnacentral:rRNA from 1 species
GUGGAUUAGAUACCCGGGUAGUCCACACCCUAAACAAUGUACGUUGGCUUAUGGCCGGAUGCGGUCAUGGGCGAAGCUAACGCGAUAAACGUACCGCCUGGGAAGUACGGCCGCAAGGUUGAAACUCAAAGAAAUUGACGGGGGCCCGCACAAGCGGUGGAGUAUGUGGUUUAAUUCGAAGCAACGCGAAGAACCUUACCAGGUCUUGACAUCCUACGAACCUUCCGGAGAUGGAAGGGUGCCCCUCGGGGAGCGUAGAGACAGGUGCUGCACGGCUGUCGUCAACU